AGGCGGCGCGCGCCGGCCCCCCCCCGCCAUGCCCCCGUUAUGUAACGAGCGCGGCGGCGGCGCCCGGAGCGGCCUGGGCUGCCCUGCCCUGCCGUGCUGUGUGCGGGGCCGGCCCGUCCGGACACCCCUCUGAGCAGCCAGUGCCUCCAUGCUGCCCAGCUGGGGCUUGCAAUGGUUUAUCUCUCGUCAAGCGCUCUGCAUCAUGUUCCGUUCCGUGCCGUCACCCUUUCUUUCAGGACACAAAACCUUUCAAGGACCUAUGGCGAUUGUCUUGUAUGAGGGAAUGGAGAGCCAUGUCCUCCACACUGAAUGCACCAAUUUAAAAGCAAAACAAUAAAUAUGUCAAAGUGCA